rnacentral:rRNA from 1 species
UACGUAGGGGGCUAGCGUUGUCCGGAUUUAUUGGGCGUAAAGAGCGUGUAGGCGGCCAGGUAGGUCUGCUGUGAAAACUCGAGGCUCAACCUCGAGACGUCGGCGGAAACCAUCUGGCUAGAGUCCGGAAGAGGAGAGUGGAAUUCCUGGUGUAGCGGUGAAAUGCGCAGAUAUCAGGAAGAACACCCGUGGCGAAGGCGGCUCUCUGGGACGGUACUGACGCUGAGACGCGAAAGCGUGGGGAGCGAUCCGG